rnacentral:rRNA from 1 species
AGGAUGAACGCUGGCGGCGUGCCUAAUACAUGCAAGUCGAGCGGUAAGGCCACUUCGGUGGUACACGAGCGGCGGACGGCUGAGUAACACGUAGGAACGUACCCCAAAGUGAGGCAUAAGCACCAGAAAUGGUGUCUAAUACCGCAUGUGGCCUAACAGGCUAAAGCUCCGGCGCUUUGGGAACGGCCUGCGCAUGAUUAGCUUGUUGGUGAGGUAAAAGCUCACCAAGGCAGUGAUCAUUAGCUGGUCUGAGAGGAUGACCAGCCAGACUGGGACUGAGAACGGCCCAGACUCCUACGGGGGGAAGCAGUAGGGAAUUUUCCACAAUGGGCGAAAGCCUGAUGGAGCAACGCCGCGUGCAGGAUGAAGGCUCUAGGGUCGUAAACUGCUUUUAUCUGUGACGAAUAUGACGGUAGCAGAUGAAUAAGGAUCGGCUAACUCCGUGCCAGCAGCCG